UCCUACGGGUGGCAGCAGUGAGGAAUAUUGCGCAAUGGGGGCAACCCUGACGCAGCAACGCCGCGUGAGUGAGGAAGGUUUUCGGACCGUAAAGCUCUGUCGAGCGGGAAGAAAUGCAUGGUGGCUAAUAUCCAUCAUGCUUGACGGUACCGCUAGAGGAAGCACCGGCUAACUCCGUGCCAGCAGCCGCGGUAAUACGGGGGGUGCAAGCGUUGUUCGGAAUUAUUGGGCGUAAAGAGCGUGUAGGCGGCUGAAUAAGUCAGAUGUGAAAUCCCUGGGCUUAACCCAGGACGUGAAUUUGAAACUAUUCAGCUUGAGUAAGGGAGAGGAAAGUGGAAUUCCUGGUGUAGAGGUGAAAUUCGUAGAUAUCAGGAGGAACACCGGUGGCGAAGGCGACUUUCUGGCCCUAUACUGACGCUGAGACGCGAGAGCGUGGGUAGCAAACAGGAUUAGAUACCCGAGUAGUCUG
rnacentral:rRNA from 1 species